UUCAUUUCCCCCAAAUUUUAGACCUUCCCGCCUCUUCCACAUGUUCUCCCCAAACCCAUUUCAUCACUCUCAUCUCAACCAUUUCACAAAACCAAACCUGAACCCUUACCUCACUAGCUCUCUGUCUCACUCUCAUCUCAGUUCCCGCCGGUACAUCUCCCCCACUGAGGUCUCUCCAAUACCGAUUCUCUCUUAGUCCUCUCUCUCACAGUGAUGGGAUUUGAUACAAAUAUGAUGGUGGGCUUCUCUUUAGUUGGGUCAUGCACCAGAUCACCUCACACCUCAAGACCCUUAAGUUCAUGCUCCCAAAGAUAACUGAAGGGGAUCAAUAUUGGAUCGAUGCAUGGUGAGCUUUCUUCUCCUUAAUCAUUUUUUUUCUCUCGAUGGGGACAUACUGAGUGCAUAAGUAGAUUUCUCAGAACCAAAUCGGCUUCGUCUUCUUCUCUGCUGUGACUUACUCUUUAAUAUUAAGGGAACGCAAAAAAAAAAAAAAACCAACUCCAGCUCUUCCUUGGUGACACAAUCUUGAUUAAGGUUUCGUUUAUUCCUUUUUCUUUUCUCUCAAUGUUUUUUAAUUUCUCUUUAGCUAGAAUUACAUUUUUAUGCUUUAUGGGUUGUAUGGAUUUUGGGGUUUUUGAGUUGGUUAGCCAAGCUCGACAGUGAGAAUGCAUUAUUUUAUGGUGAGAAUGCAAAUGCAAUGUCAUGUCCUGUAUGCAAGUCUAGUCGUUAUGUACAAAAUCAAAUCCCACAUAAAUGACUUAGAUGGUUCCUAAUCAAGGCACGACUUAAGAAAUUGUUUAGUUCGAAGCACACUUCUAAAGAUAUGCGAUGGCAUAAAGAGGUUCGAAAAAAUGAAGCUGGGAUUUUACGUCAUCCUGCUAAUGGGGAUGCUUGGAAGCAUUUCGACAAUGUUUGUCCUGACUUUGCAACUGAUUCCAGGAGUGUACGAAUGGGGUUGUGUUGUUGUGCAAUAGCUUUCUUCUCUACUCUAUUUGGCCCAACAGAGAUCAUAUAAUUGGCUUGUGAUAUAUUCUCUUUUGUUAUGUA